GGCUGUCAGAAAUGUUUACGUUCUUCGCACAGAAAAGCUAUUGAAAUCCCGUAAAUUGAAAAUGCCCCGUUACAAUAAAAGGAAGAUAGCAUGUUUGGAUCGCGAAAAUCGCAAAAAGGCGAAACUUCCGGGAACCAACUGGACUGUAGGAAAUGAACUUCCACCGGACAUUGCCGCGGAAUUAAGACCCGAAGAAUUGCAACUUGAGCAUUUUUCGAGUAAUCAAGAAAAUCCAGCAUUAAGCCCACUACACGACCUAGUUUCAAGUGGAUGUAUGGCUGUUCGCAUUUUGGACAUCAGUUUUAAUCUAUCCCUCGAAUCCGCAAAUGAAUUAUUUUGCGAAGGGAUAGAGCAACCGUUAUUGUUUUUCGAGCUCGCCACAGUUAAUGCAUCUCAAAUCAAUUUUUUGGAAGGCACGGUGGAAUAUUCGUCUAUUUCAAAUAACCUGGUAGAAAAUGAAGUACUUUCAGUAGAAAUCCAAAACAUUUGAGCCCAAGCCAAGCGACAUGUACGUUAGCUUCAGACAUCAAAGCAACCGAACGAAAUGGGAACAUAUUACAUGAAGUGCUGUCUGAUUGUGAAGCUUCAUCGAAUAACAAAGAAUAUGGUAAUAGCUCCCAAUCCAGUAAAUAUAUUCGGCUGGCAUGGUCGAAAACUAUUAUCCUUGCAAUUCCUAGUGAAACUAACGGCACUGCGGUUGAUGAAGGUUUGAAAUGCAGUUGUGAUGCAUGUUUGUAAUGGGAAUCAUACUACAAUACUUCAAAAAUUUCUAACGUUGCUGGUGAAACGUUUCAACUCAACACACUACCCUUAUCAAUGGAACCUAGAAAUCAGUCUGAAAACUUCAAAAAAAUGACUGAACGGUAGAUCCGUUUGCUUGGAGAUAUUAACUCAAAACGUCGGUAUAAGUACCGUUCAGGCCCGGUCUUGAAGACGGGAUUACAUAGGACCAAGCAAAUAGGAAAAG